AACGAACGCUGGCGGCAUGCCUAACACAUGCAAGUCGAACGAGACCUUCGGGCCUAGUGGCGCACGGGUGCGUAACGCGUGGGAACCUGCCCUUAGGUUCGGAAUAACUCCCCGAAAGGGGUGCUAAUACCGGAUAAUGUCUUCGGACCAAAGAUUUAUCGCCUUUGGAUGGGCCCGCGUUGGAUUAGCUAGUUGGUAGGGUAAAAGCCUACCAAGGCGACGAUCCAUAGCUGGUCUGAGAGGAUGAUCAGCCACACUGGGACUGAGACACGGCCCAGACUCCUACGGGAGGCAGCAGUGGGGAAUAUUGGACAAUGGGCGAAAGCCUGAUCCAGCAAUGCCGCGUGAGUGAUGAAGGCCUUAGGGUUGUAAAGCUCUUUUACCCGGGAUGAUAAUGACAGUACCGGGAAGAUAAGCUCCGGCUAACUCCGUG
rnacentral:rRNA from 1 species